AACGCUGGCGGCGUGCCUAAUACAUGCAAGUCGAACGCACAGCGAAAGGUGCUUGCACCUUUCAAGUGAGUGGCGAACGGGUGAGUAACACGUGGACAACCUGCCUCAAGGCUGGGGAUAACAUUUGGAAACAGAUGCUAAUACCGAAUAAAACUUAGUGUCGCAUGACACAAAGUUAAAAGGCGCUUCGGCGUCACCUAGAGAUGGAUCCGCGGUGCAUUAGUUAGUUGGUGGGGUAAAGGCCUACCAAGACAAUGAUGCAUAGCCGAGUUGAGAGACUGAUCGGCCACAUUGGGACUGAGACACGGCCCAAACUCCUACGGGAGGCUGCAGUAGGGAAUCUUCCACAAUGGGCGAAAGCCUGAUGGAGCAACGCCGCGUGUGUGAUGAAGGCUUUCGGGUCGUAAAGCACUGUUGUAUGGGAAGAACAGCUAGAAUAGGAAAUGAUUUUAGUUUGACGGUACCAUACCAGAAAGGGACGGCUAAAUACGUGCCAGCAGCCGCGGUAAUACGUAUGUCCCGAGCGUUAUCCGGAUUUAUUGGGCGUAAAGCGAGCGCAGACGGUUUAUUAAGUCUGAUGUGAAAGCCCGGAGCUCAACUUCGGAAUGGCAUUGGAAACUGGUUAACUUGAGUGCAGUAGAGGUAAGUGGAACUCCAUGUGUAGCGGUGGAAUGCGUAGAUAUAUGGAAGAACACCAGUGGCGAAGGCGGCUUACUGGACUGCAACUGACGUUGAGGCUCGAAAGUGUGGGUAGCAAACAGGAUUAGAUACCCUGGUAGUCCACACCGUAAACGAUGAACACUAGGUGUUAGGAGGUUUCCGCCUCUUAGUGCCGAAGCUAACGCAUUAAGUGUUCCGCCUGGGGAGUACGACCGCAAGGUUGAAACUCAAAGGAAUUGACGGGGACCCGCACAAGCGGUGGAGCAUGUGGUUUAAUUCGAAGCAACGCGAAGAACCUUACCAGGUCUUGACAUCCUUUGAAGCUUUUAGAGAUAGAAGUGUUCUCUUCGGAGACAAAGUGACAGGUGGUGCAUGGUCGUCGUCAGCUCGUGUCGUGAGAUGUUGGGUUAAGUCCCGCAACGAGCGCAACCCUUAUUGUUAGUUGCCAGCAUUCAGAUGGGCACUCUAGCGAGACUGCCGGUGACAAACCGGAGGAAGGCGGGGACGACGUCAGAUCAUCAUGCCCCUUAUGACCUGGGCUACACACGUGCUACAAUGGCGUAUACAACGAGUUGCCAACCCGCGAGGGUGAGCUAAUCUCUUAAAGUACGUCUCAGUUCGGAUUGUAGUCUGCAACUCGACUACAUGAAGUCGGAAUCGCUAGUAAUCGCGGAUCAGCACGCCGCGGUGAAUACGUUCCCGGGUCUUGUACACACCGCCCGUCACACCAUGGGAGUUUGUAAUGCCCAAAGCCGGUGGCCUAACCUUUUAGGAAGGAGCCGUCUAAGGCAGGACAGAUGACUGGGGUGA
rnacentral:rRNA from 1 species